rnacentral:rRNA from 1 species
AUUGAACGCUGGCGGCAGGCUUAGCACAUGCAAGUCGAGCGGGGUGAUGGUGCUUGCACUAUCACUUAGCGGCGGACGGGUGAGUAAUGCUUAGGAAUCUGCCUAUUAGUGGGGGACAACAUCUCGAAAGGGAUGCUAAUACCGCAUACGUCCUACGGGAGAAAGCAGGGGAUCACUUGUGACCUUGCGCUAAUAGAUGAGCCUAAGUCGGAUUAGCUAGUUGGUGGGGUAAAGGCCUACCAAGGCGACGAUCUGCAGCGGGUCUGAGAGGAUGACCCGCCACACUGGGACUGAGACACGGCCCAGACUCCUACGGGAGGCAGCAGUGGGGAAUAUUGGACAAUGGGGGGAACCCUGAUCCAGCCAUGCCGCGUGUGUGAAGAAGGCCUUAUGGUUGUAAAGCACUUUAAGCGAGGAGGAGGCUCUUUUGGUUAAUACCCAAGAUGAGUGGACGUUACUCGCAGAAUAAGCACCGGCUAACUCUGUGCCAGCAGCCGCCGUAA